AUUGAACGCUAGCGGGAUGCCUUACACAUGCAAGUCGAACGGAGUGGCGAACGGGUGAGUAUUGUAUCGGAACGUGCAAAGGAGCGGGGGAUAACUACGCGAACGCGUAGCUAAUACCGCAUACUAUUGGAGCGGCCGAUAUCGGAUUAGCUAGAUGGGGGGGUAACGGCCCACCAAGGCGACGAACCGUAGCUGGUUUGAGAGGAAGACCAGCCAGCAUGAGACUGAGACACGGCCCCGACUCCUACGGGAGGCAGCAGUGGGGAAUUUUGGACAAUUGGGGAAACCCUGAUCCAGCCAUGCCGCGUGUGCGAUGAAGGCCUUCGGGUUGUAAAGCACUUUUGGCAGGAAAGCGGUACCCGCAGAAGAAGCACCGGCUAACUACGUGCCAGCCGCCGCGGUAAUUC
rnacentral:rRNA from 1 species